rnacentral:rRNA from 1 species
UACGUAGGUGGCAAGCGUUGUCCGGAUUUACUGGGCGUAAAGAGCGCGCAGGCGGCCGAGUAAGUCGAAUGUGAAAGCCCCCGGCCCAACUGGGGAAGGUCAUUCGAUACUGUUCGGCUCGAAGAUAGGAGAGGGAAGCGGAAUUUCAGGUGUAGUGGUGAAAUGCGUAGAUAUCUGAAGGAACACCAGUGGCGAAGGCGGCUUUCUGGCCUAUUCUUGACGCUGAGGCGCGAAAGCUAGGGGAGCGAACGGG